rnacentral:rRNA from 1 species
UAAGGAAUAUUGGUCAAUGGACGCAAGUCUGAACCAGCCAUGCCGCGUGAAGGAUGAAGGUCCUCUGGAUUGUAAACUUCUUUUAUCUGGGACGAAAACGGGAUUUUUAUCUCAAUUGACGGUACCAGAGGAAUAAGCACCGGCUAACUCCGUGCCAGCAGCCGCGGUAAUACGGAGGGUGCGAGCGUUAUCCGGAUUUACUGGGUUUAAAGGGUGCGUAGGUGGGUUAUAAGUCAGUGGUGAAAUCUCCGAGCUUAACUUGGAAACUGCCGUUGAUACUAUAGGUCUUGAAUUAUCUGGAGGUAAGCGGAAUAUGUCAUGUAGCGGUGAAAUGCUUAGAUAUGACAUAGAACACCAAUUGCGAAGGCAGCUUACUACAUAUAAAUUGACGCUGAGGCACGAAAGCGUGGGGAUCAAACA